rnacentral:lncRNA from 1 species
GCAGACUGCGAUCAAAUGAAAACACAACUUGACAUACAUCCUUAGUAUCUUAGUACCUGGUACACGUUUUGUGCAUACCAAUCGUGAAACUGUUAAUUCUCUUAUUACAUUCUUAAUACAGACUCGUAUGCGACCGUGAUAUGACAAUCUUCAAAAAUCAGAAAUGAAACAAAAGAAUCUUACAUCAACACCACCUCGAUGCAUUUCAAAAGUGUUGUUGAUAAACACUUACAAACUCUAGCUCAAACAAUAACAAAAAGUCAACAGCAUUUCCUCAAACGCGACGAAAAAGAUAAUUAAACAGCAAUAUCCUCGUCCCCAGCAGACGCACUGCAACAUCAUGACAUAAGUAAUUAGUGGAUUCUUGAUCAAAUCAUUUGGCAAAAUUAUAAAUGUAAAGCCUUUCAGAAUUUGUGCCUGCUUGUGUAUUCAUAUUGACACGUGGCCAACUGAUCAUGCAAUAUGUGCCAGUAUCUAACAUACAUCUACAGAGUUAGUAUGUGUAUUAUAUUUCUACACUCCUUAUUGUCCUUUGAGACAAUUUAAAUAGAAACAACGCGAAUACAUGCAGAUCUUGCCAAAGCAACAAUAUAAGCACAGAUCUAAGCCACUUUUCAAAACCCAUUCGGCACUGCAACAACUUUAAGUGACUUUUCCUUAAAUUUUAUCAGUUACUCCAUUAUGAUCAAAGGACCCAUUUAAUAACAGCUUUUGUCCCUAGCAACCCUGGUUUACCUGCUAUUGCUCAUUUGCCAUUUGUUUGGAGAAAAAAAAAAGUAAUGGCCUUCCUCCUACAAAAGGCAAGAACAUAAACUAGUAGGGAUAGAACAAUUUGUACGUUCACAUUUUCUGAAAACAUGAGAUAAGAAGAAAAUGCAGCUCAGAGGAGUUUCUCCAAAGGAGCCUCAUUAGUAUUCAGUAAGGAAGGUGUUCAUCGUCUCUCUCUGUUAUAUUCAAAGACCAUCACAUGCGAGAAGUUUUAUACUGACUUUUAUGUGUUCAACUUGGUUGACUUUAGACUGAGACUCAAUUUCUCAUUCUAUACUGAUGCAAUAUUUUUGAAGGUUUCCCUAACUCUGCAACAUGAUUGAUUUUUUUAAACUAUUUACAAUGUCGA